rnacentral:pre_miRNA from 11 species
GGUUUUGGAGUGGAGCUCCUUGAAGUCCAAUAGAGGGUCUUACUGGGUAGAUUGAGCUGCUGACUUAUGGAUCCCACAGCCCUAUCCCGUCAAUGGGGGGCAUUGGAUAGGCUUGUGGCUUGCAUAUCUCAGGAGCUGCAUUAUCCAAGUUUAGAUCCUUGUUUGGAUUGAAGGGAGCUCUACACCUCUCUCUC